GGGGAUGUAGCUUAGUGGUAGAGCAUUUGCCUAGCAUGUAGGAGACCCUGGGUUCUAAUCCCCAGCACUG
rnacentral:tRNA from 1 species